UGCGUAGGUGGUGAGGAAAGUCGGAUGUGAAAUCUCCAAGCUCAACUUGGAAAUGGCAUUGGAAACUACCUUGCUCGAGGUUUGGAGGGGGGACUGGAAUUCUCGGUGUAGCAGUGAAAUGCGUAGAUAUCGAGAGGAACACCAGUGGCGAAGGCGAGUCCCUGGACAACACCUGACACUGAGGCACGAAAGCCAGGGGAGCAAACA
rnacentral:rRNA from 1 species